UGUCCCUAAUCGGCCGGCUGAC
rnacentral:miRNA from 1 species